rnacentral:lncRNA from 1 species
CUGCUAUCAAGAAGUCAGCCAAUAAUAAAUGCUGGCGGGGUUGUGGAGAGAAAGGAACCCUUCUCCACUGUUGGUGGGAGUGCAGACUGGUGCAACCACUGUGGAAAUCAGUAUGGAGAUUCCUCAAAAAACUAAAACUAGAGGUUUCAUUCAACACAGCUACUUCCCUUCCUGCUAUCUUCCCAAAAGAAUUAAAAGCAACAUACUAUAGUGAUAUAUGCACACCCAUAUUUAUAGCGGCACAGUUUGUAAUACUUCGUUAAAUCUUGGAAAGAGCCCAAGUGCCCAUCACCAAUGAAUGGAUAAAGAAAAUGUGGGGUUUUUUUACACAAUGGAGUACUACUCUGCCAUAGAGAAGGAUAAACAUGGGACAUUUCUAGCUAAAUGGAUGCACCUUGAGACCAUACUUUUUUUGUUUGUUUGGGGGGGUUUUGUUGUUGUUUUCUUUUUUUUCUUUGGUACUGGGGAGCGAACUCAGGACCUUGGGCUUGUGAGGCAGGUGGGGUGGUUUGGGCUGGCCUCAAACUCAUGGUGAGCCUCCUGCCUCACCCUCCCAAGAGCUGGGAUUGCCAGUGUGUGCCCCCAAGCCCAGUGAGACCAUACUCUUAAGUGAAAUUAACCAGACACACAUGUUCAAAUAUCACAUUGUUUCCCUAAUGUGAGCAACCAAAAGUGUAGAAAAAGAACCAAAAUGUAUAAUAGACAUUGGGAAAUGGGAAGAAAAAUGUUCAGAUGAGAAGGGGAACAAAGGAGGGGGAAGGGGAAAGGAAGGAAGGGAAAAGAAAAAUAGGAUAGAAGGAAAAAAUGGAAAUGAAGCUUUUGUAAAUGAGAAGAGGAAUUGAAGGGAGGGGAGGGAUUAGAGAAAAAAGAAGACUCAAGUUAUAUCAUGUACACUCCCUACUAUGAGUAUGAUCACCAUGUAUAUCUAAAAUGUGCCAAUAAAAUUAAUUUUUUUUAAAAAGAGACGAAGAGCCCCAGGAAUGAGUUGGGAGGUCACAGAGCACAUGGCCACCUCAGCACUCGCUGCCUGUUGCCUGAGCACCUGCUUCAUAAUCUGCCCAGGCCUUGGGGCGUUUCCCGUGAGCUCCCGGGGGUCGGUGCCGGUGCCGCACAUUCCAGACUGGAAAAAGCUAAGCAGACCCGUGGGAAUGAACUUUACCCAGGCCUCCUCGUGCGUGCCCCACCAAGGUCCUGCCCCUGAGCUCCAUCCCCAGCCCUAGCAGGGACUUUCAUUCAAUGAUAACUACAGAACAUUCCAGCUAACGGAGGUCAUGAUUCCGAAUUCAAAGCCAAGGGCAACUAUAUGCUGUCUACGUGAGACCCAGAUACAUUCCAGCCUUACAAAAAUGUUGAAAACUUUUAGAAUGGAGAAAACAUGUACCAUGUGAACACAAUAAGAAGGGUCUCCCUAUGUAGCCUAUGUUGGCCUCGAGCUUGCAGUGAUCCUCCUGCAUCAGGCCCAAGUGCUGGGAUUACAGGUGUGCGCCAGCAUGCCCAACAAGACAUCUUCAUGAUCCUGUCAAGCCCGAUUCCCAGGGUAGAUUUAAUAGUGUAAAACUAUAUAGCCAUAAAAUUUAGAAAAGAAAAAAAUGACACCAUUAUCAGGGUAAAUAGACAAACACAGUCAUUAUGGGAAUCUCAAUUUACCUGUUUCAGGAACUAAUUGAACAGUAAGACAAAGACCUACCUGUAAGGAGCUAGGAGAUUUUAUCAACACGAAUUUGACCUGUGCCCAAAUAUAUAGCGCGUGAACAUACACUACUCUCAAGGGCACGGAGCAUGCGCAUGACUGUGCUGGGCUCUCAGUGCCUUCCUCGCUCCAGGAGUAACAGAGCCCUGUUCUCUGCCCGCAG